rnacentral:rRNA from 1 species
CCUACGGGGGGCUGCAGUGGGGAAUAUUGGACAAUGGGGGGAACCCUGAUCCAGCCAUGCCGCGUGUGUGAAGAAGGCCCUCGGGUUGUAAAGCACUUUCAGUGAGGAAGAACGCCUGGUGGUUAAUACCCAUCAGGAAAGACAUCACUCACAGAAGAAGCACCGGCUAACUCCGUGCCAGCAGCCGCGGUAAUACGAAGGGUGCGAGCGUUAAUCGGAAUUACUGGGCGUAAAGCGCGCGUAGGUGGCUUGAUAAGCCGGUUGUGAAAGCCCCGGGCUCAACCUGGGAACGGCAUCCGGAACUGUCAAGCUAGAGUGCAGGAGAGGAAGGUAGAAUUCCCGGUGUAGCGGUGAAAUGCGUAGAGAUCGGGAGGAAUACCAGUGGCGAAGGCGGCCUUCUGGACUGACACUGACACUGAGGUGCGAAAGCGUGGGUAGCAAACAGGAUUAGAUACCCGGGUAGUC